CUUCAUUAUUCUUCAAUAGGACUUCAAUAAACUGCUUUUUCUGACCUGUCCAGUCACCUCCUGUGGUGAAUAUAGACUGGUGUCAGGGCAUGUGAGCGGAUGGUUGCCAUGGCACCCUGAUUGACAUGUAAGCAGUGACCCCAAAAAACCACAACUUGCUUACAUUGGAGUUGGAGAAGAACUGCAGGGCUUUUGGUAGAUAACAGCCGAGCUUACAGAACAUCACAGACUAAAAUCUCAUUUUCACAGCCACUGCGCGCUGAGUGGAUGGGAGCUAAAGGAGCGAUGCAGCUGAUCUUCUGAAGGACGUUCAUGAGGAAAAUGGCGUCGUACUG